rnacentral:rRNA from 1 species
UAAUACGAAGGGGGCUAGCGUUGUUCGGAAUUACUGGGCGUAAAGCGCGCGCAGGCGGUUCUUCAAGUCAGAGGUGAAAGCCCAGAGCUCAACUCUGGAAUGGCCUUUGAGACUAGAGAACUAGGGUACGGGAGAGGUGAGUGGAAUUCCGAGUGUAGAGGUGAAAUUCGUAGAUAUUAGGA